rnacentral:rRNA from 1 species
GACGAACGCUGGCGGCGUGCUUAACACAUGCAAGUCGAGCGGAGCGGCGAACGGGUGAGUAACGCGUGAGUAACUGCCCCCCUCUCUGGGAUAACAGUUGGAAACGGCUGCUAAUACCGGAUAGUGGGGGAUGACUCGCGUCCUAUCAGCUUGUUGGUGGGGUAGUGGCCUACCAAGGCGACGACGGGUAGCCGGCCGGGGAGGGGGACCGGCCACAUGGGGCGGCGGUAGGGCCCAAAGUCCAACGGGAGGCAGCAGUGGGGAAUAUUGCCCAAUGGUGGAGAGCCUGAUGCAGAAGCGCCGCGUUCGGGAUGACGUCCUUCGGGUUGUAAACCGCUUUCAGCCAUGACGCGGUAGUGGCAGAAGAAGCACCGGCUAACUACGUGCCAGCAGCCGCGGUAAUUC